rnacentral:rRNA from 1 species
AUUGAACGCUGGCGGCAGGCCUAACACAUGCAAGUCGAACGAGUGGCGGACGGGUGAGUAAUGUCUGGGAAACUGCCUGAUGGAGGGGGAUAACUACUGGAAACGGUAGCUAAUAACUCAUACCAUCGGAUGUGCCCAGAUGGGAUUAGCUAGUAGGUGGGGUAAAGGCUAACCUAGGCGACGAUCCCUAGCUGGUCUGCGAGGAUGACCAGCCACACUGGAACGGAGACACGGGCCAGACUCCUACGGUAGGCAGCAGUGGGGAAUAUUGCACAAUGGGCUCAAGCCUGAUGCAGCCAUGCCGCGGGGUUGAUGAAGGCCUUCGGGUUGUAAAGCACUUUCAGCGGGGAGGCGUUACCCGCAGAAGAAGCACCGGCUAACUCCGUUCCAGCAGCCGCGGUAAUUC